UUAUUUUUGUCAACAUUUCAGAUAUCUUUAAAGAACUUUCGGAACGUUUGGGUGUAGCUUUAUAACGCAAAUGAGGCAUCCUAGAAUUUAAUUCAGAUACUAAUGGUUGAAGCGGUACCAUACAGUGAGCAUCUGUGUGUCUACCAAUCCUUCUCUUGUCUUGAUGCAAAUAAAUAUUUGUAGUUUGUCUUGGUA